rnacentral:rRNA from 1 species
UACGUAGGGUGCAAGCGUUGUCCGGAAUUAUUGGGCGUAAAGGGCUCGUAGGCGGUCCAUCGCGUCGGGAGUGAAAAGCUGGGGCUUAACCCCAGUCCUGCUUCCGAUACGGGUGGACUAGAGGUAGGUAGGGGAGAUCGGAAUUCCUGGUGUAGCGGUGGAAUGCGCAGAUAUCAGGAGGAACACCAAUAGCGAAGGCAGCUCGCUGGGACGGUAUUGACGCUAAGGCGCGAAAGCGUGGGGAGCAAACAGG